rnacentral:rRNA from 1 species
GACGAACGCUGGCGGCGUGCCUAAUACAUGCAAGUCGAACGCAGUGGGGACGGGUGAGUAACACGUGGGUAACCUCCCCUAAGUGGGGAUAACACUUGGAAACAGGUGCUAAACCGAUACUGAUGGAUGGACCCGCGGUGCAUUAGCUAGUUGGUGGGGUAACGGCUCACCAAGGCCACGAUGCAUAGCCGACUGGAGGGGGUGAUCGGCCACAAGGGGACUGAGACACGGCCCAGAUGCCUACGGGAGGAAGCAGUAGGGAAUCUGCGGCAAUGGACGAAAGUCUGACCGAGCAACGCCGCGAGAGUGAAGAGGGUUUUCGGAUCGUAAAACUCUGUUGUUAGAGAAGCGGUAUCUAACCAGAAAGCCACGGCUAACUACGUGCCAGCCGCCGCGGUAAAC